rnacentral:rRNA from 1 species
CAAGGCAGUAGCUCACGCGCGCAUGAAUUCAUGUUAUAUUCUCCUAAAAAACAUUCGUCUCAAUAGCGCGCCUCGCAUCUCCGUAGGUGAACCUGCGGAAGGAUCAUUA